rnacentral:rRNA from 1 species
CCUACGGGAGGCAGCAGUGAGGAAUAUUGGUCAAUGGCCGGAAGGCUGAACCAGCCAAGCCGCGUGAAGGACGAAGGUGCCAAGCAUUGUAAACUUCUUUUGUCAAGGGACAAAAUCAGGCUCGAGAGCCUGACCGAGGGUACUUGAAGAAAAAGCAUCGGCUAACUCCGUGCCAGCCGCCGCGGUAAUACGGAGGAUGCGAGCGUUCUCCGGAUUUAUUGGGUUUAAAGGGUGCGUAGUCGGACUGUUAAGUCAGCGGUAAAAGCCCGGGGCUCAACCCCGGCGAGCCGUUGAAACUGGCUGUCUUGAGAUGUCGAGAGGUAUGCGGAAUGCGCAGUGUAGCGGUGAAAUGCUUAGAUAUUGCGCAGAACUCCGAUUGCGAAGGCAGCAUACCGGCGGCGAUCUGACGCUGAGGCACGAAAGCGUGGGUAUCGAACAGGAUUAGAUACCCGAGUAGUC